AGGAGAGUGAAGACAUGAAGAUUGAAGAAGCAUUCAGAGUCAAACAAGAAUAUACUGAGGAACCAACAGACCAAUGACACUAAAAAAAGA